rnacentral:rRNA from 1 species
GGAUGAACGCUGGCGGCGUGCCUAAUACAUGCAAGUCGAGCGAACAGACGAGGAGCUUGCUCCUCUGACGUUAGCGGCGGACGGGUGAGUAACACGUGGAUAACCUACCUAUAAGACUGGGAUAACUUCGGGAAACCGGAGCUAAUACCGGAUAAUAUAUUGAACCGCAUGGUUCAAUAGUGAAAGACGGUUUUGCUGUCACUUAUAGAUGGAUCCGCGCCGCAUUAGCUAGUUGGUAAGGUAACGGCUUACCAAGGCAACGAUGCGUAGCCGACCUGAGAGGGUGAUCGGCCACACUGGAACUGAGACACGGUCCAGACUCCUACGGGAGGCAGCAGUAGGGAAUCGUCCGCAAUGGGCGAAAGCCUGACGGAGCAACGCCGCGUGAGUGAUGAAGGUCUUCGGAUCGUAAAACUCUGUUAUUAGGGAAGAACAAAUGUGUAAGUAACUAUGCACGUCUUGACGGUACCUAAUCAGAAAGCCACGGCUAACUACGUG